rnacentral:rRNA from 1 species
UAAUGGGUCAGCGACUUAUAUUCUGUAGCAAGGUUAACCGUAUAGGGGAGCCGAAGGGAAACCGAGUCUUAACUGGGCGUUAAGUUGCAGGGUAUAGACCCGAAACCCGGUGAUCUAGCCAUGGGCAGGUUGAAGGUUGGGUAACACUAACUGGAGGACCGAACCGACUAAUGUUGAAAAAUUAGCGGAUGACUUGUGGCUGGGGGUGAAAGGCCAAUCAAACCGGGAGAUAGCUGGUUCUCCCCGAAAGCUAUUUAGGUAGCGCCUCGUGAACUCAUCUUCGGGGGUAGAGCACUGUUUCGGCUAGGGGGUCAUCCCGACUUACCAACCCGAUGCAAAC